UAGGGAAUCUUCCGCAAUGGGCGAAAGCCUGACGGAGCAACGCCGCGUGAGUGAUGAAGGUCUUCGGAUCGUAAAACUCUGUUAUUAGGGAAGAACAAAUGUGUAAGUAACUAUGCACGUCUUGACGGUACCUAAUCAGAAAGCCACGGCUAACUACGUGCCAGCAGCCGCGGUAAUAUGUAGGUGGCAAGCGUUAUCCGGAAUUAUUGGGCGUAAAGCGCGCGUAGGCGGUUUUUUAAGUCUGAUGUGAAAGCCCACGGCUCAACCGUGGAGGGUCAUUGGAAACUGGAAAACUUGAGUGCAGAAGAGGAAAGUGGAAUUCCAUGUGUAGCGGUGAAAUGCGCAGAGAUAUGGAGGAACACCAGUGGCGAAGGCGACUUUCUGGUCUGUAACUGACGCUGAUGUGCGAAAGCGUGGGGAUCAAACAGG
rnacentral:rRNA from 1 species